rnacentral:rRNA from 1 species
AAUGAACGCUGGCGGCAUGCCUAACACAUGCAAGUCGAACGAAGGCUUCGGCCUUAGUGGCGCCCGGGUGCGUAACGCGUGGGAAUCUGCCCUCAGGUUCGGAAUAACAGCGAGAAAUUGCUGCUAAUACCGGAUGAUAUCGCGAGAUCAAAGAUUUAUCGCCUGAGGAUGAGCCCGCGUAGGAUUAGCUAGUUGGUGUGGUAAAGGCGCACCAAGGCGACGAUCCUUAGCUGGUCUGACAGGAUGAUCAGCCACACUGGGACUGAGACACGGCCCAGACUCCUACGGGAGGCAGCAGUGGGGAAUAUUGGACAAUGGGCGAAAGCCUGAUCCAGCAAUGCCGCGUGAGUGAUGAAGGCCUUAGGGUUGUAAAGCUCUUUUACCCGGGAUGAUAAUGACAUUACCGGGAGAAUAAGCUCCGGCUAACUCCGUGCCAGCCGCCGCGGUAA